UACAGAGGUCCCAAGCGUUGUUCGGAAUCACUGGGCUUACAGAGUUCGUAGGCGGUCUGGAAAGUUGGGUGUGAAAUCCCUCGGCUCAACCGAGGAACUGCGCUUGAAACUACCAGACUCGAGGGAGAUAGAGGAAAGCGGAACUGAUGGUGGAGCGGUGAAAUGCGUUGAUAUCAUCAGGAACACCGGUGGCGAAGGCGGCUUUCUGGGUCUUACCUGACGCUGAGGAACGAAAGCCAGGGGAGCGAACGGG
rnacentral:rRNA from 1 species